AGAAACCGCGCGCUGAUGGAUCCG
rnacentral:siRNA from 1 species